rnacentral:rRNA from 1 species
GACGAACGCUGGCGGCGCGCUUAACACAUGCAAGUCGAACGGAAAGGCCUGCUUUCCCUUGUGGUUUGCGGGUACUCGAGUGGCGAACGGGUGAGUAACACGUGAGUGAUCUUCCCCCAACUUGUGUAUAAGCCUGGGAAACUGGGUCUAAUUCCCUAUAGUACUGCUGGGUGGUUCCUUUUGUGGAAUACGAUUUUCUUGUGGUUGGUGAUGAGCUCGCGGCCUAUCAGCUUGUUGGUUGGGUAAUGGCCUACCAAGGCGGCGACGGGUAGCCUGCCUGAGAGGGUGGACGGACACAGUGGGACAGAGAGACGGCGCAGACGCCUACGGGAGGAAGCAGAGGGGAAUAUUGCAGAAUGGGCGGAAGCCUGAUGCAGCGACGCCGCGUGGGGGAUGACGGCAUUCGGGUUGUAAACUCCUUUCGACAGCGAGGAAGCCACCUGGUUGGAAGGGUGGUGACGGUAGUGGUAGAAGAAGCACCGGCUAACUACGUG